GUGGUGUGUGCCGAACGGCUAGGCGCCGCCCUGUGGAGGCGGUUUAAGCGGGUUCGACUCCCGUACACCACC
rfam:Microgenomates bacterium GW2011_GWC1_39_7b TT58_C0016, whole genome shotgun sequence.